AACAAACGCUGGCGGCGUGCCUAAUACAUGCAAGUCGAACGGGGAAAGUAGCAAUAUGAGUACUAGUGGCGCACGGGUGAGUAACGCGUGGAUAAUCUGCCUUGAAGAGGGGGAUAACUAGUCGAAAGAUUAGCUAAUACCGCAUAAGACCACAAGAACUGAGGUUCAAGGGGUCAAAGGUUUUUCGCUUCAAGAUGAGUCCGCGUAAGAUUAGCUAGUUGGUGAGGUAAUGGCUCACCAAGGCAACGAUCUUUAACUGGUCUGAGAGGAUGAUCAGUCACACUGGAACUGAGACACGGUCCAGACUCCUACGGGAGGCAGCAGUAGGGAAUAUUGCAGAAUGGAGGAAACUCUGAUGCAGCGACGCCGCGUGAGUGAUGAAGGCCUUCGGGUCGUAAAGCUCUGUCGCAGGGGAAUAACACAAUGAAUGUACCCUGUAAGAAAGGAUCGGCUAACUUCGUG
rnacentral:rRNA from 1 species